rnacentral:rRNA from 1 species
AUGAAUUGCUUAAGUUGGAACUGCCGGGGGCUACGGAACCCCGAGGCAGUUCGCGAGCUUCGCAACAUCGUGAAGCAAGAAGUUCCUGCCCUGCUAUUCAUUAUGUAGACCAAAAUCAGGGCUAAGAGAGUUGAGGAUCUGCGUUAUCAGUUAGGUUUCUUGGGAUGUUUUGCAGUGGACAGCGAAGGACUGAGCGGUGGCAUUGGUCUUUUCUGGUCCAAGGAUUAUGAUGUUCAACUGAAACACUAUAGUUCCGGCCAUGUUGAUGCAAUGGUGCAGAUGAAGGAUCAAAGCUUGAAUGAGUGGCGAUUCACGGGCUUCUAUGGAGCACCGAGAGCUGAGAAUAGACACCAUAGCUGGCGCUUCAUGAGAACAUUGUAUGCACAACCGCAUGAUGCAUGGUUAUGCCUGGGUGACUUUAACGAGACUCUGUACGGUGAUGAGCACUUCAGUCGUUCGGCUAGGACGGAAUGGCAAAUGCGAGCUUUCAGAGAGGUUGUUGAUGAGGUUGGUUUCCAAGAUCUAGGGUGGGCUGGACUGCCCUACACCUGGGAUAAUAGGCAGGAUGGAGAUGCUAAUGUAAAGGCCAGGCUUGACCGUGCUUUUGCAAACGAGGCUUUUCGAAGGCAUCAUGAGUUCAUCCGAGUACGACAUAUCAGUGCAGUGGAGUCGGACCACUGUUUCAUCGUUGCAGAGAGCAGAGACAAGCCACAUGGUCCGAGGGGGCGACGACCGAAACAAUUUUGA